UUUUCCUCCGUCGUUCGUUAU
rnacentral:miRNA from 1 species